AUUGAACGCUGGCGGCAGGCCUAACACAUGCAAGUCGAACGAGUGGCGGACGGGUGAGUAAUGUCUGGGAAACUGCCUGAUGGAGGGGGAUAACUACUGGAAACGGUAGCUAAUACCGCAUAACACGGGUUGUGCCCAGAGGGGAUUAGCUAGUAGGUGGGGUAAAGGCUCACCUAGGAGACGAUCCCUAGCUGGUCUGAGAGGAUGACCAGCCACACGGGAACUGGGACGCGGUCCAGACUCCUACGGGAGGCAGCAGUGGGGAAUAUUGCACAAUGGGCGCAAGCCUGAUAGAGCCAUGCCGCGUGUAUGAAGAAGGCCUUCGGGUUGUAAAGUACUUUCGGCGGGGAGGCGUUACCCGCAGAAGAAGCACCGGCUAACUCCGUGCCAGCCGCCGCGGUAAUUC
rnacentral:rRNA from 1 species